rnacentral:rRNA from 1 species
AUUGAACGCUGGCGGCAGGCCUAACACAUGCAAGUCUAACUAUUUGCGGACGUUUUAUUAAUUUCUUUUAAACUGCCCGAUGGAGGGUGAUAACUACUGGAAACGGUAGCUAAUACCGCAUACCAUCGGAUGUGCCCAGAUGGGAUUAGCUAGUAGGUGGGGUAACGGCUCACCUAGGCGACGAUCCCUAGCUGGUCUGAGAGGAUGACCAGCAACGAUGGAACUGAGACACGGUCCAGACUCCUACGGGAGGCAGCAGUGGGGAAUAUUGCACAAUGGGCGCAAGCCUGAUGCAGCCAUGCCGCGGGUAUGAAGAAGGCCUUCGGGUUGUAAAGUACUUUCAGCGAGGAGGCGUUACUCGCAGAAGAAGCACAGGCUAACUCCGUGCCAGCCGCCGCGGUAAUUC